CCUACGGGGUGCUGCAGUGGGGAAUAUUGGACAAUGGGCGAAAGCCUGAUCCAGCCAUGCCGCGUGUGUGAAGAAGGCCUUCGGGUUGUAAAGCACUUUCAGUGGGGAAGAAAGCCUUGGGGCUAAUACCCUCGAGGAAGGACAUCACCCACAGAAGAAGCACCGGCUAACUCCGUGCCAGCAGCCGCGGUAAUACGGAGGGUGCGAGCGUUAAUCGGAAUUACUGGGCGUAAAGCGCGCGUAGGUGGUCUGAUAAGCCGGUUGUGAAAGCCCCGGGCUCAACCUGGGAACGGCAUCCGGAACUGUCAGGCUAGAGUGCAGGAGAGGAAGGUAGAAUUCCCGGUGUAGCGGUGAAAUGCGUAGAGAUCGGGAGGAAUACCAGUGGCGAAGGCGGCCUUCUGGACUGACACUGACGCUGAGGUGCGAAAGCGUGGGUAGCAAACAGGAUUAGAUACCCCUGUAGUC
rnacentral:rRNA from 1 species